rnacentral:misc_RNA from 1 species
AUUGAAUGCUUUGUCAGGAGUUGGUAUACUUUCGACCCCAUAUGCAGUAUCAUCAGGAGGAUGGCUGAGCUUGAUCCUUCUCUUUAUAAUUGCCAUUGCAGCCUUUUACUCAGGUUUACUGAUUAAAAGGUGUAUGGAAGCGGAUUCAAAUAUCAGAACUUAUCCUGACAUAGGUCAUCGUGCUUUUGGAAACAAAGGAAGAGUUUUGAUAUCAAUUUUCAUGUAUAUGGAGCUCUACUUAGUCGCCACUGGUUUCCUGAUUCUAGAGGGGGAUAACUUG